rnacentral:rRNA from 1 species
CGGCUAAAAAGCUCGUAGUUGGAUUUCUGUUGAGGACAUCUGGUCCGCUCUAUGAGCGUGCAUCUAGUUUGGCCUCGGCAUCCGCUCUGCAUACAUGUCUGCGCUUGAUUGCGUGGCGUGGAGGUAGGGCCUUUUACUUUGAGGAAACUAGAGUGUUCACGGCAGGCAGUCGCCUUGAAUAUAUUAGCAUGGAAUAAUAAUAUAGGAUCUUGGUUCUAUUUUGUUGGUUUCUAGAGCUAGGAUAAUGAUUAAUAGGGACAAUUGGGGGCAUUCGUAUUGCGGUGUCAGAGGUGGAAUUCUUGGAUUACUGCACGACGAACUACUGCGAAAGCAUUUGCCAAGGAUGUUUUCAUUGAUCAAGAACGAAAGUAAGGGGAUCGAAGACGAUUAGAUACCGUCGUAGUCUUUACCAUAAACUAUGCCAGCUAGAGAUGGGGCGUCGUUCUUACAUGACUCGCUCCGCACCUUAUGAGAAAUCAAAGCUUUUGGGUUCCGGGGGGAGUAUGGUCGCAAAGCUGAAACUUAAAGGAAUUGACGGAAGGGCACCACCAGGAGUGGAGCCUGCGGCUUAAUUGGACUCACCACGGGAAAACUCACCAGGUCCAGACAUA